GGGCGUUUGGCAGAACGGUUAUGCUCCUGACUCUUAAUCAGGCUGACACAGGUACCCUGCGGGAACGCUGCGCGAACGACCCCUGUAGCGCCCACCA
rnacentral:tRNA from 2 species